CCUACGGUGCGCAGCAGUGGGGAAUAUUGCACAAUGGGGGAAACCCUGAUGCAGCGACGCCGCGUGAAGUAUGAAGUAUUUCGGUAUGUAAACUUCUAUCAGCAGGGAAGAAAAUGACGGUACCUGACUAAGAAGCCCCGGCUAACUACGUGCCAGCAGCCGCGGUAAUACGUAGGGGGCAAGCGUUAGCCGGAUUUACUGGGUGAAAAGGGAUCGUAGACGGUUUGGCAAGUCUGAUGUGAAAGCCCGGGGAUCAACCCCGGGACUGCAUUGGAAACUGCAGAACUAGAGUGUCGGAGAGGCAAGUGGAAUUCCUAGGGUAGCGGUGAAAUGCGUAGAUAUUAGGAGGAACACCAGUGGCGAAGGCGGCUUGCUGGACGAUGACUGACGUUGAGGCUCGAAAGCGUGGGGAGCAAACAGGAUUAGAUACCCGUGUAGUC
rnacentral:rRNA from 1 species